UACUAAGUUUAAUAAAGUAAGGUCAACUUUUUAGCACGGAAAGUUAAUAAACUCAAAAUAUUCAAUUACCCUCUACUUAAAAUAAUAAGUAUUUUGAAAAUGUUCGAGUUGUCAUGCGCGGUGCUACCAGUAGGUGGAGCCGAUUUGAAACGGAAACGGAAUAACAUUAUUUCUGGUGAAGAGCACAUGGAAAGUGCUUGUUUUGUGAGAUGACUUGAGACAUGCAAUGGAAAUGGCACUGACAUCACUGCUAAUCGCACAGCAGUUCUUCGUGGACUUCCUCUCCUUCUUGGAGAAGAAACCUCUGACUUUUUCAAAGCAACAUUGGCAAG